rnacentral:tRNA from 1 species
GACGCGCGGGAGCGGGUUCCUCGGCGCGGGCUUCCUCCGGGGAGGCCGGCGCGGGAGCGUCUUCGGCGCGCGCUUCC